GAGGUUGUAGCUCAGUGGUAGAGUGCUUGCCUAGCAUGCAUGAGGCAAUGGGUUCGAUCCUUAGCAUCA
rnacentral:tRNA from 2 species